rnacentral:rRNA from 1 species
UGGGGAAUAUUGCACAAUUGGCGCAAGCCUGAUGCAGCCAUGCCGCGUGUAUGAAGAAGGCCUUCGGGUUGUAAAGUACUUUCAGCGGGGAGGAAGGGAGUAAAGUUAAUACCUUUGCUCAUUGACGUUACCCGCAGAAGAAGCACCGGCUAACUCCGUGCCAGCAGCCGCGGUAAUACGGAGGGUGCAAGCGUUAAUCGGAAUUACUGGGCGUAAAGCGCACGCAGGCGGUUUGUUAAGUCAGAUGUGAAAUCCCCGGGCUCAACCUGGGAACUGCAUCUGAUACUGGCAAGCUUGAGUCUCGUAGAGGGGGGUAGAAUUCCAGGUGGAGCGGUGAAAUGCGUAGAGAUCUGGAGGAAUACCGGUGGCGAAGGCGGCCCCCUGGACGAAGACUGACGCUCAGGUGCGAAAGCGUGGGGAGCAAACAGG